rnacentral:rRNA from 1 species
UAUUGCGCAAUGGACGAAAGUCUGACGCAGCGACGCCGCGUGAGGGAUGAAGGUUUUCGGAUCGUAAACCUCUGUCAGGAGGGAAGAAAGCGCAUGGCGCCAAUCAGCCAUGCGUUGACGGUACCUCCAAAGGAAGCGCCGGCUAACUCCGUGCCAGCAGCCGCGGUAAUACGGAGGGCGCGAGCGUUAAUCGGAAUUACUGGGCGUAAAGCGCGCGUAGGCUGUUGUGUAAGUUGGGGGUGAAAUCCCACGGCUCAACCGUGGAACAGCCCUUGAUACUGCGCGACUUGAAUCCGGGAGAGGGUGGCGGAAUUCCAGGUGUAGGAGUGAAAUCCGUAGAUAUCUGGAGGAACAUCAGUGGCGAAGGCGGCCACCUGGACCGGUAUUGACGCUGAGGCGCGAAAGCGUGGGGAGCAAACAGG